ACGGUUAGUCGAAGAAAUUGUGAUGUGCGCGUUGCGACGAAAGUAAUUCAACGCUUUAAAUAAAUAUAUUAAAUCGCGAAAGAUACCGUUAAUACAAAGUAUAAAAUACGUAGAGAUUAGAUUUUAUCGAUUUUACGCGAAACAAAUGAAUCUAGGAGGAAACAAAACAUUUCUAUAGAAAACCUUUAGAGCCGCUGCAACGUCGUUUCAGCCGUUGUGCGUAAUCGAUCCGGAGCAUCAGAGGAUCAGACCGACAACGCAGCAGCGAGGACAUAGGAUCAAAUUGGUCAGCCUGUCAACGAACACGCACACGGUAUUCGAAAUUUUUGCGACGAAGAUGAAGAAGUUACGAUUAGAUUUUCUCGACCGGUGACACUUAUUCAUGCUCGAAAUGGCACCGAGAGAAAAACAACCGUUAUCGAGGCAUCGAAAUAUGCUAUUUCCGGCGAAUUUUUGCUCCCACAUCGGAUCAUGGAAAAUUCUUUGUACGAGAUCCGGCUUCGACGAUCCGGCAUCCUCGGUGUUCGAGUUGUUGUAACGGCCGAAACAGUGGAUCGAGAAGGCAACGUGAUUACAAUAUGUAGAACGUUAGAAUGAUCUAGAGUAACUGGUGCAGAAAAAUUCAAGAUUCUAGAUAAUAUCGUGAAUAAACUCGAUGCGUUAACAUCGAUGCAGAACUUGUGCGAUUAUAAUUGAUCAUCGAUCAACACAUUCUAUGAUUACCAUUUUUCUGUAACUGUGCUGUUAAUUGAAAACAAACGUUACUUGGCAAAAAGGAUUGCGACACGCGAUAUACCGUUGUUCGAAGCGACAGAAUUAACAUCGAAAUAAUCCCUAAUAAAUUCUGAAAUGAAAACAUAAUUUUUUCAUUUCUUUUAGCGCACUCUUAGCGCAGAAAUUAUCGCUUUAAUUUGUUAUAUAAUUUGAGGAAAUUUAAUAUGUCUUUCUUUCUUUCUUGAUCAGGAUAAUUGAUAUACGUAAGACUUGUAUGUACUACGUUUACGUAUAAUAUUUAUAAUUGUUGAUAAAGUUAAAAGAAACAUAAGCUUACUAUUGCAAUAUAAUUAUAUUAAAACAAUAUAAAUAUAUAAUGUUUGCGUUAUCGUUGAUCGUUGAUCAAAGUUGCUAAUGAACCUAACCAAGGAAACGGAACUGUUCGAGAGAGAAUCUAAUUCAUCGAUAUCGUAUUAAACGAACAUGAUAAAGAAUGUGAAACAGAUCCUCCCGAACAAUUCGGUAUUCUUUGGUUUACCAUUUUAUGCUAUAAUUUUGCCACAAUCAAUGUGUGUUUUGUUUUUAUGCAGCUCUACCGUAUCGACGCGUGAUCGAUUGUGGCGCCACGUUGGUAGAAAACAGGAAGCUCCGUCCGAUGUCCGCGCAGCGCCAAUUGGAGUAGCGGCAAAACGCUCAAACUGUUGGCCAAAUUUAACGACAGUCUAGAGUAACAAUUUUAACGUUACGCCAUUACCUCGACUGCAGCUCUACGAACAAAAAACUGACAAAAUUGCUAUACACGACGCAAUUUUGAAAAAUAAACGGAGAUUGUUCAACUAU